rnacentral:rRNA from 1 species
GGGUUGUGAGGUUAAGCGACUAAGCGUACACGGUGGAUGCCCUGGCAGUCAGAGGCGAUGAAGGGCGUGCUAAUCUGCGAUAAGCGCCGGUAAGGUGAUAUGAACCGUUAUAACCGGCGAUACCCGAAUGGGGAAACCCAGUGUGACUCGUCACACUAUCAUUAACUGAAUCCAUAGGUUAAUGAGGCGAACCGGGGGAACUGAAACAUCUAAGUACCCCGAGGAAAAGAAAUCAACCGAGAUUCCCCCAGUAGCGGCGAGCGAACGGGGAGGAGCCCAGAGCCUGAAUCAGCAUGUGUGUUAGUGGAAGCGUCUGGAAAGGCGCGCGAUACAGGGUGACAGCCCCGUACACAAAAGCGCAUGUGCUGUGAGCUCGAUGAGUAGGGCGGGACACGUGGUAUCCUGUCUGAAUAUGGGGGGACCAUCCUCCAAGGCUAAAUACUCCUGACUGACCGAUAGUGAACCAGUACCGUGAGGGAAAGGCGAAAAGAACCCCGGCGAGGGGAGUGAAAAAGAACCUGAAACCGUGUACGUACAAGCAGUGGGAGCCCCACCACUAAGCCAGUGGUGAACUCCACAUACGCAUCCUUUGCUGAGGAUACGGUUAACGGAGCGCAAGCGACGUUCAACCGCAAAAGAAGCAGAGGGGGCUUAGUGGUGGGGUGACUGCGUACCUUUUGUAUAAUGGGUCAGCGACUUAUAUUCUGUAGCAAGGUUAACCGUAUAGGGGAGCCGCAGGGAAACCGAGUCUUAAUUGGGCGUUAAGUUGCAGGGUAUAGACCCGAAACCCGGUGAUCUAGCCAUGGGCAGGUUGAAGGUUGGGUAACACUAACUGGAGGACCGAACCGACUAAUGUUGAAAAAUUAGCGGAUGACCUGUGGCUGGGGGUGAAAGGCCAAUCAAACCGGGAGAUAGCUGGUUCUCCCCGAAAGCUAUUUAGGUAGCGCCUCGUGAAUUCAUCUCCGGGGGUAGAGCACUGUUUCGGCUAGGGGGCCAUCCCGGCUUACCAACCCGAUGCAAACUGCGAAUACCGGAGAAUGUUAUCACGGGAGACACACGGCGGGUGCUAACGUCCGUCGUGAAGAGGGAAACAACCCAGACCGCCAGCUAAGGUCCCAAAGUCAUGGUUAAGUGGGAAACGAUGUGGGAAGGCCCAGACAGCCAGGAUGUUGGCUUAGAAGCAGCCAUCAUUUAAAGAAAGCGUAAUAGCUCACUGGUCGAGUCGGCCUGCGCGGAAGAUGUAACGGGGCUAAACCAUGCACCGAAGCUGCGGCAGCGA